CACGUAGGGCGCAAGCGUUGUCCGGAAUUAUUGGGGCGUAAAGAGCUCGUAGGCGGCUUGUCACGUCGGUUGUGAAAGCCCCGGGGCUUAACCCCGGGUCUGCAGUCGAUACGGGCAGGCGUAGAGUUCGGUAGGGGGAGAUCGGAAUUCCUGGUGUAGCGGUGGAAAUGCGCAGAUAUCAGGAGGAACACCGGUGGCGAAGGCGGAUCUCUGGGCCGAUACUGACGCUGAGGAGCGAAAGCGUGGGGAGCGAACAGG
rnacentral:rRNA from 1 species